UACGGGGGGUGCGAGCGUUGUCCGGAAUCACUGGGCGUAAAGGGCGCGUAGGUGGCGUCGUAAGUCUGUGGUGAAAGCCCGGAGCUCAACUCCGGGUCUGCCGCGGAUACUGCGAGGCUUGAGUGCUGUAGAGGGGGGUAGAAUGCCGGGUGUAGCGGUGGAAUGCGUAGAGAUCCGGCAGAACACCAGUGGCGAAGGCGGCCUUCUGGACCAGUACUGACGCUCAUGCACGAAAGCGUGGGGAGCAAACAGG
rnacentral:rRNA from 1 species